UGCAGUCGAACGGCCGCACAGGGGAGCUUGCUCCUUGGGUGGCGAGUGGCGGACGGGUGAGGAAUACAUCGGAAUCUACUUUUUCGUGGGGGAUAACGUAGGGAAACUUACGCUAAUACCGCAUACGACCUACGGGUGAAAGCAGGGGACCUUCGGGCCUUGCGCGAUUGAAUGAGCCGAUGUCGGAUUAGCUAGUUGGCGGGGUAAAGGCCCACCAAGGCGACGAUCCGUAGCUGGUCUGAGAGGAUGAUCAGCCAAACUGGAACUGAGACACGGUCCAGACUAAUACGGGAGGCAGCAGUGGGGAAUAUUGGACAAUGGGCGCAAGCCUGAUCCAGCCAUACCGCGUGGGUGAAGAAGGCCUUCGGGUUGUAAAGCCCUUUUGUUGGGAAAGAAAUCCAGCUGGCUAAUACCCGGUUGGGAUGACGGUACCCAAAGAAUAAGCACCGGCUAACUUCGUGCCAGCAGCCGCGGUAAUACGAAGGGUGCAAGCGUUACUCGGAAUUACUGGGCGUAAAGCGUGCGUAGGUGGUCGUUUAAGUCCGUUGUGAAAGCCCUGGGCUCAACCUGGGAACUGCAGUGGAUACUGGGCGACUAGAGUGUGGUAGAGGGUAGCGGAAUUCCUGGUGUAGCAGUGAAAUGCGUAGAGAUCAGGAGGAACAUCCAUGGCGAAGGCAGCUACCUGGACCAACACUGACACUGAGGCACGAAAGCGUGGGGAGCAAACAGGAUUAGAUACCCUGGUAGUCCACGCCCUAAACGAUGCGAACUGGAUGUUGGGUGCAAUUUGGCACGCAGUAUCGAAGCUAACGCGUUAAGUUCGCCGCCUGGGGAGUACGGUCGCAAGACUGAAACUCAAAGGAAUUGACGGGGGCCCGCACAAGCGGUGGAGUAUGUGGUUUAAUUCGAUGCAACGCGAAGAACCUUACCUGGCCUUGACAUGUCGAGAACUUUCCAGAGAUGGAUUGGUGCCUUCGGGAACUCGAACACAGGUGCUGCAUGGCUGUCGUCAGCUC
rnacentral:rRNA from 1 species